CUAAACCUAAACGACUCUCAAUUUCCUCUCUCACUCAAGAUCUUCUGUGAUUGCCAAAAUAUCCAUUUUUGUCCAGGUUUGUUGGUCUAAAAAGUUCAUACAAUUUACUCUGGUUGCCAUGCUGAAGUCCUAAAUCUAUGUACAUUUUAUUGAAAUUAUAAGGAAUCUACUUAAACUUAGGAGAAUUGUUGAAGAUCAAUAUCUACUUUUUGGUAUGUUUCUUUUUAUUUUAUUUUUUUCUG
rnacentral:lncRNA from 1 species